CCUUAUUGAGAGAGGCUGAGGGAUCAGGCCCUUUGAAGCCCGGCAACCACCGUGCGGUGUGCAUGUGCGGAAGGUGCUAAUUCCUGCAGAUAUUCAUAUAUCUGAAAGAUGAGG
rnacentral:ncRNA from 1 species